UUUAUUUUUUUGUCGUUUUUAAUUCGAUUUGAUGUUGAUUUCAUCAGAUCUGAUGGUUUACUUCUGAAAUUCUUCGUGGCCGAGUUCUGUUCAAAGUUAGGUGGUGAAUUGAGAGGAAUGUCUAACAGGAUGGUCUCCUCCCUCAAGAACAUGCAAAAUCCAGGCAACAUCUCUAACCUCUCGCAGAGAGAGGCUGCCGAGACUGACAAGAUACUCAUGGGCCCUCUUAGCUUCAGUGUUGAUCAGUUGAUGGUUGGUUGUCCAGUUGCUUUGUGGUUCUGCAUUGUCUUUGGUAUUUUUUAAUGGCUCUAAUUUACAUAUGGGUUUGUUAUUGCAAGAGCUGAAAGGCUUGAGUGUCGCAACGUCAAUAGUAGAGUAAAUUACUUCAAGAAGCAGGUACAAAAUGAAAAAGGCAAGGUAGUAAUUCCCAACUAUGUUCUUAUUUAUGAAGACAAUGAAGGAGAUCGAAUGCUUGUCAGCAAUGUGCCAUGGAAGUUCUUGGAGGAACAUUAAGAGAUUUGCUUACACUUUGGGCAGGUUUUUGAGUAGUGAGUAAACACUUUUGAAGUCAAAUCUUGGAGAUGCAUCAACUGUAGUAGGGGUGUUUUUGCCCUAACCUUGGCUCAAAUCUUGGGAUGUUUAUACCUUAAUCAUGCCU